rnacentral:rRNA from 1 species
GACGAACGCUGGCGGCGUGCUUAACACAUGCAAGUCGAACGGUGAAGCGCCUUCCUUUUUGGUGGGUGUGGAUGAGUGGCGAACGGGUGAGUAACACGUGAGUAACCUGCCCCCUUCUUCUGGAUAACCGCAUGAAAGUGUGGCUAAUACGGGAUAUUCUGGGUCUGUCGCAUGAUGGGUCUGGGAAAGAUAUUGUUUCGGUGGGGGAUGGGCUCGCGGCCUAUCAGCUUGUUGGUGGGGUGAUGGCCUACCAAGGCGGUGACGGGUAGCCGGCCUGAGAGGGUGGACGGUCACACUGGGACUGAGACACGGCCAAGACUCCUACGGGAGGCAGCAGUGGGGAAUAUUGCACAAUGGGCGCAAGACUGAUGCAGCGACGCCGCGUGAGGGAUGGAGGCCUUCGGGUUGUGAACCUCUUUCGCCAGUGAAGCAGGCCUGCCUCGUUUGUGGGUGGGUUGACGGUAGCUGGAUAAGAAGCGCCGGCUAACUACGUG